GCAAUAACAAUGCUGAAUCAGCAAAUCACGUUUGAAGCGUGGCCAAAAUCUAUUGCCUGGAUCUUGGAGGCUUUGUCCAGUGUCAUUGUGGGCCACAGUGACAUAGCCAGGACCAUGGAGAGAGACCAUUGCUGAGGAGGUGGGAAUGGCAAGUUCCUGGCCAAUCAGAUGAUCCUACAUGACGAAGCUGCUCGUAAAGAUGCAAGUCUGAUGACAAACUCAGGAUGAUGAACCUGAGGAUUUGUACCGACCAGGUGAGGUGGACUUUGACCCCAAUGAGGAGAGCUUACUAGCGGAGCUCCACCUAGCAACCAGCGGUAGCAACGCACCCGGAGUGGAUCAGAUCAUUAUAGACAAUGAGAAACUAAUGCUGGAGAAUUAUGCGGCCAUUUUUCAGCCCGGCCAAGUGUUGAGGAGACAAGAAGAGGCACUGAGAAUGGAGGUAGAGGUACAGAGUACAUUAGCUGGAAAUUGCAUUUGUGUCAUACUUUGUAGAGUCCCUUAAAGUCAUUCAAGGUCAGCUAUAGUGUGUCCUAUUUGAAGGUGUGCAAUGUACAAUCAUGUACGACCCCCCCCCCACACACACACAUCUUUAGGCCUACUAUGCUGCUAAAAAAGAGAGGGGCCUCACGUAAACUGGCCACUCAGUGUGACUAUGACCAUGUGACUGUUUAACCCCUCAGUUCCCGAGCCCUACCCCUCACUGGUCUGACUCGGAAGAGGAGAUAGACUUUGUAUUCUGGGAGAAGGCGUCUACCCUACCCGAGGACAAGACCCCAACCAAGGACCUGAACUUGUUAUGAGACUGUUAAAUAUUAUUUUGUCUGUUUUUAUACUAUUUUCUGGCAAUGUAAUUAUGUAUGUACCACUUCAUGUCAUCAUAAUAACUAUAAUUAUAUGCAAUAAAAUUUUGUUGCAACUCAA